GCAAAAUAGGAAUUUAUUUUAGAUUUAGGGGAAUCUUUAACCAUGUCUCUGAUUAAAACUUUUGAUUGUAACAUCACAAGUUAUUUAAUUAAAUAUUCUGUAUACGGGUAUAGUUUAAGCAAUGACCUGAGCCAUUACCUUCGGAGCCGUCAAUACUACAUUCUUUAGACGAUAGUCUAAACUAAAUAAAUUUUUAAACGGUUCAGGAAUUCCGUGAAUCUUUUCAUAACCUGCACUAUAGUUUCACGCGUAUUAAAGAUCCGGCGGUGCCUGACAAAGCGCCGGGUGAGUGUUCAUAUAUGCCAUUUUAAAAUAAUGUUAAUAAAUGUAAUUCUGUCCACUAUGGCAAAAUAGGAUUUUAUUUUAGAUUUAGGGGAGUCUUUAACCAAGUCUCUGACUAAGACAUGUGUAUACGUGCACAGAUGGUGACAGAGAAACUUACAUAUGACGUUAAUAAACUUUUAAAUGUUUUUAAGACGUAUUCACCCCAUUUUGGGGUUUUAUUUUUAAUUAAAGGCUUCUUAAAACAUGUGUGAAUAUGUGUAUAUUAUACAAAGAGUCUUAUAUUGUCUGCUCUGACAAAAAUAAAGUAUUUUUUAGGUUUAGGGGAAUUGACUGCGUGUGUCUUAUAAAUACAACUUGAUAAUACGUUUGUUUUGUAAAGAGACUUCUUUAAAGUCACGCAAGAAUAAAAUAUUUUAGUUGUAACUGGUUAAACUUAAAGCCGAUAUUUUCUAUCGAACUAGUCUAUUUUCUGUUCAGACACAAAGUUUUCUGAUGCUGAUAUUAUGUCAGUGUGUGUUUGUGUGGGGGUCGUGUGAUGUAAUCUUUGAAAGUUUAUGACCGAACCUUUAUUGGGGAGCGACAAGAGAUCUCCCGGAAUCAGUUUGGAUGGAGCAGAGCUGUUAUACUCAAGUCUAUUGGUAUGUAUGUGUUUCGCUGUGUUCGUGCCAGUAUUUUGUAUGAUUUAUUUAAAAACUAAAAAUUCGAUCUCUGGUAUUGCAGCGAAAUUGUCUAAACUGGUAUUAACUAUUCCUGGUAAAUCGCGGAGAAGAGUGGCCUGAACAAAAAAGUCAGACCGAGACUAGAACCUCCCGCAGCGUAACACGGAAAUCUUGGAACAAAAGAGACGCCGACUGGCUCGUGUUGUCCGGUUUGGAUAUCAGAGGCAAAGCGAACGUUGUGUGUACUAUUGCAAAAUAUAUAGCGGAUCUCCACGGUUAGGAUACAGACCACAACGCUUUGGACGUAUCUUUAAAAAAGAUUAAAAUCAGAGACUUUUUGGAUUUGUCUGGGGACAUUUUAAACAUUUUGUGGCAAAUUGGAUUUAAAACAUUUCGGAUACUGGAUACCUAGUUUGAUUUGUCCACAGAGCUUGUUUAAGACGUUUUCACCGCAUUUUAGGGUUUAUUUUUAAUCAAAGGCUUCUUAAAACAUGUGUGAAAAUGUGUAUAUUAUACAAUGAGUCUUAUAUUGUCUGCUCUGACAUAAAUAAAUUUUUAUAUUAGAUUUUAGAUCAAUUGACUGUGUGUGUUUUAUGUCAAGCGUAUGCUGUUAUGUUUAAUGACGGCUCGUGUGACAGCUUGUGUUUAGGCAUUUGAUGUCAGAUAUCACCCUUCCUCCCUCCUUUCGCACAAGACCUGCAUUCUUUCACAGGGGUGCGUGUUGUAAAGCGAUUAAAGAUUUCUAAAACUCAAUGUUGGUAAAACAAUCCCCCAUUACGGUGUCAAAAAAGUAAAAUGUUUAUUUUAGAUUUAGACAAAUCAUGAACAAUGCUACGAUUAAAACAUUUGUUUGUAACAUCACAAGUUAUUUAAUGAAAUAUUCCGUAUACGUGUAUAG